GACGGAACAGAGGGUCAUCAGGCAGCGGGCAGGAGCGCAGCGCUUCCCCGGGUUUUCCUAUAUGACCGAGGAAGGGACAACGACAGGCGAGGCUGGUAGUUAGGGGAGGAUCGGAAGGGAGUGACAGCGACGAACAGCGCAGAAGGUUGGCACCAGCGAAGAUGACAGCGCGCAGGGCUAAAGCGAAGGGCGCGCAAGGCGCCGGGAGGGACCGGUCACGAAGCAGCCAUCAGAGGGUAGCUGACGUAGUUGACAGGGACCCCCGCGGGG